rnacentral:lncRNA from 1 species
GACUUUGAGCUCAAUGCCAUGACUGAGGAAGACCACGGGGUUUUCUCUCUUAGAGGGGAGGUGAGUAUAAUUGUCAUACAUAUCUAUACCAGAGGGAGACUGCACUGAAUAUUUGGAGAAACAAAAGGGUAAAUUGUGGCAGAUACUACCAGUCCUUAGCAAUAUUUCCAGUUCUCCUUUUUCACUCCUCUAGUCAGUAGGCCGUAGCUAGAUGACUGGUCCCGUAGCCCGGCUGUGUCUAUCAGGAGGCAAUGCAUGAUUUCCCAGCCCAAAGUACAUGAGAGAUGAUGGACCCAUUUCCCACAUUCUCCUCCUCUUCCACAGUGAACCCAGAGCUUUGAGUUGAGAUGGGGGUGCCAUAAGAUUGAAGUACUCUGAAAAACAGAGCUUAAAGGCUUUUAACAGGUGAAAGUGCGGUCCAAAUUCUUAAUUUGUUUUUGUUGUUGUUGUUGUUGUUGUUGUGGAGGGCAUCUAUCCAAAAGCUUUCAGGACACACAUGAACUUUACACGAGCAAGGAAAAAAAUGUGUGCUCAGAUACUGAGAUGUUAGUGUUUUUGAUAAUAUAGCCUGAUCUCAUACAUACAUUUAUCUUAGACCAUUCUAUGCUAAAUACAUACAUUCACACAGACAAACAUAUGUGCAUACAUAUCUAAUGGAUUAGUUAAAAGAAAAUACAUUUCAACUUUUAAACCCAGAAAAUGUAAGUAAAUAUUUAACUUAUCUCAAGUGAAGACUUUACACAUAAUGUCGUGAAAACAACACAAGUGAAAAAGUAGAUCUGACUACUUGCAAAUAACACUUUUGAACAUCAGAAAUAUCAACAACUUAAUGAAAAUUAAUGACAUGCUGGGGGAAAACAUUUUUGCAAUAGAGGGUUUAUGUCCUAAUAUAUAAGAGGCUCUUAAAAAUGAGUAUCUUAAAAUAUCAGCAUCACACACACACACACACACACACACACACACACACAGACAAAGAAUAUAAACAUAAUUCUUCCAAUUUAUAAAAACAGAAAUACAGACAGAUAUCUUCCAAAGCCAUCAGAAUUUGAACCAGUGAUGAGGAGCACAUUUGCUUUCCUGCCCAAUUAACAGUCAUAGAAGAUCACCUGAACUGCCCCUGGGGUGUGGAUAUGCACCCUGAAAAUAUUUGGCAUACCAGAGCAUAGUUGGAUGUGUAUAUACAUAAUUGUGAAAAUAAAUUGUUUUAGAUUUUAAUAUUUUUCCUUGUGUCUAACUUUCUUUAAGCACCAACAAUUUUUAAAAAUAUAAAAAUAUUAUAAAUAUUUGUGUGAGGCAAGAGGAAUAUUGUUGGGUCUUCUAGUUACAAACCAUAGGAUCUUAGAGAUAACAAUGAACAUUCCCAAAAGCUCCCAUUUAGGAAGUUUUUGGUUGAUGGCAUGACCCUUGAAGGGAUCUGACUUCCUGAGAGAGUGACUCAUAAAUAAUUACUCCUUUUUAUGAUACAAAUAUUUUUGAAGAACAGCUAAAGUCUUCAUUAAAAAAGCAUUAUGCUCCUAUGAGAUUUCCCCAUGCCUAAGAUUAAUAUCACAGUUGAGGAGACCUGAGUAUUUUUUGUUACCUUACAAUUGUACAUAAAUAAUUAUUUUAUGCAGUGCCAUAGGUUAAAUGCAUAUCAUGAAAUUCACUUUCCUCCCGAUUGCCAUUUAUGUCACUUAAUUCAAUGAAAGUCCACAAAAAUACAGUAUGACUCAGAAUAUUGGAGCUGUGGCUAAGCAAGAAAAGUUCAUUCAAAAUUGAUUUUCUUUCAGGAAUCCUUGAUAUUCUUCAUUCCAAUUGUUCACCUCUACUGUAGGGCUCAGUAAACACUUAAGGAAGUUGCCGUGCACUGCAGCCUGCCGGAGACAUGAAGGAAUGUACGGGAGGAUAAUCGCAACAUCAUCAACCCAAUUCUCCAAGGUAGCUGGCCAAUAAUGCUGUUCUAAUUGAAUAACUUAUCCACAGCUAUUUCCCCUGGGAAAGCCGAAGGCUCAGCCUCGGCAAAGAGGCAGAUGGUGCCGCAUAUACAAUGAAACCUGUAAUUUUUUCUUGCCAUUGGACAUGUUAACAGUGGGCUGUUUCUGCUUAUUCCUUAGUAUUUUAUUUUAAUAGUCCCUUCCCAAAUUACAAUGUACAAUAAAGCAGCCAAAGACGGAUUCAGUGAUACAUAUCAUAUUUAAUUUAUCAUUCCUCUAGCUCACUGAACAACUCACUUGGUAGUCAGCAGCAGUAUAUGUCAGGGACAGGUGCAAGCUGAAAAGAAAGCAACAGAAAAGGACCCAAUGAAAACCAAAAGGGGAGAUGAGUCUUCAGGGUGGCAUGGCAUUCACUAGCAGCAAAGUGUGCAAUGUCAAACACAUUCUAAUUCUGAUUUUUUUUAACAGUAAUUUGCCAUGGGACAGGCACACCCCAUGUGUUUGGGAAGACAAUGGGAAGGUUCUGUUUUCUGCUCCAAGACUGAUUCAACCAGUUGGAUCUGGAAGGGGAUAAAGGGCUGUGUGGCUGCUUGAUUUUCAUUGUCUAGUGGCAGCCAAAAUUGGAAAAGAGAGAAGUGCAGACUUUAAAGACAAGCAGCGACAGCUCAUCAGCAGUCUAACAACACGACAGAUGACAGGCCCAGAGGCACACCCAGGGCCGCCAGCCCAUCACCCUGUGCAGGAUGUCAAAGAGCAGCUGCAGCAAAGGAAGAAGAUCAUCCAGACUUAAAUGUUUGGGCCUUGCUAAGACCAUAGAGUCUUUGUGCUUUGGAAACAGUCCUCCAUACAAAGACCCCUUCCUAGAAAAGAGUGGAAAGAAACCAAGGCACAGGAAGAAAGCAUUGAGGUCACAGGGCAGCUCAGGUCCGCCUGUGGUAAUUGAAAACAGGUGACGAGAUUGGGUUGAUUUUAUUUUGGAAAAGUAAAUUAGUGCUGCACCACUCGGACAUGGCUAAUUCAUGAAGCCUCUGGUUUGUAUUAGACACCCAACAUGCCUUUCAGAAAGAAAUGACACAACAAUUAAUGUGUCAAAUAAUAAUGUGCCACUCGGAGAAAGAUAAUUGUACCCAUCGUCAGGUAGUUAUUAGGUCGAACGAAUGCUCAUCCUUUCAAAGGCAACAGCGUCUAUUCAUUCUGGCAUCCUACUGUAAGUACAGUAUUGUGUUCAUAAUCACACAGACUGAAGCCAGGAACACUGGGUUUUAUCUGAUUUUUCUCCAUUUGGAAUUGUACUCCGAUGAUUCCCUAAACAGCAAACUCAGUCAUGUGAAACACAAAUGAGUGUGAUGAAAGACAGAUUGUUAUACUGCAGGAGAGGCUUUC